UGACGGUGGUGGAGGUCCUGCUGCACGACCCGCUCUCCUCGUGGACCUUGAGCCCCGAACGUGUGGCAGCAUUGCAGGCUGACGGCGCCCCCCCCCCUCAGCGCCCAUCCCCAGAGUUGCCCUACAUGCAAGGGGACAAUCGGCUGGCGCGGCGCAUGCUCCUGCGGCUGGAGCAAAAGCUGCGAGGCCUGGAGGAGGGCGCGCCCUUGAGCGUAGCAGGACAGGUGAACCUGCUCAUCCAGCAGGCCAGGGACCCACACAACCUGAGCCGCCUGUUUCCUGGCUGGCAGCCCUACGUCUGAGCAUCAGGGACAGCUCCCAUUGUGGAAGUUCCAGCUGCACAUUUCACUACCUCGAGGUUGUCCCAGGGCUGCCAUCAUCAUCAGCUGCUGCUGACUUGAGCUCACUUGAACAAUGGUGGCUACACUGCCAGCUGUGCCAUCCACUGUGGAAACCAACCUGCCUGUUGCUUAGCCCAAUUGUAGUGGUGGCCAUAUUGGAAAGUGACCUGACAUGUUCUGUACUUAUUGAAACAGUUGAAAUAAGAAAGUGUUUAUGGGUGCCUAAAGUUAAGUGAAUACUGUGAAUAUCUGGAGCAGGUUCUUUGGUUUCUUUCUUUUUUUUUGUAUGUAUUGCGAAUUCAGUAGCUUGGGAAAGCACCUUGCAAAUUAUACUAUACUACAUUCAAAAGUAAGCAGUGAAUGGUUUUUAUAGCUAUUGCACAUCACAAGCUUUGGUACAGAGUGAAUUUCGAGAUGCUAGGAAAGUAUUGUGCUACAGGAGGGCCAGGGCGGUGUAAAGCCACUCUGUUUCCCGAGGAAGGCCUUGUGCACUGUGGUGAUGCAUGUUUGUGCUGUCAGCAUGAUAUGAGAACCCCUAAAAUAUUGCCGCCCUGUUUACUGUAGUUGAUGAUCUGCCACCAUAAUACGCAGCAUGCAUGUGCAAGUUGUCACACAAGGGUUUAAUGUGCCUUGCCAUGUAAGUUAAAGCACUGGAUGUGGUCAUGUUCCCAAUAUGUUUUGUUUAGCUGUAAUUCUCUCUUCUUUAAAAUCUGUUGGGUGCCU